AUUGAGCGCUGGCGGCAGGCCUAACACAUGCAAGUCGAGCGGGGUUUUCGGACCUAGCGGCGGACGGGUGAGUAAUGCGUAGGAAGCUACCCGAUAGAGGGGGAUACCAGUUGGAAACGACUGUUAAUACCGCAUAAUGUCUACGGACCAAAGUGUGGGACCUUCGGGCCACAUGCUAUCGGAUGCGCCUACGUGGGAUUAGCUAGUUGGUGAGGUAAUGGCUCGCCAAGGCGACGAUCCCUAGCUGGUUUGAGAGGAUGAUCAGCCACACUGGAACUGAGACACGGUCCAGACUCCUACGGGAGGCAGCAGUGGGGAAUAUUGGACAAUGGGCGCAAGCCUGAUCCAGCCAUGCCGCGUGUGUGAAGAAGGCCUUCGGGUUGUAAAGCACUUUCAGUAGGGAGGAAGCGUUGUGUGUUAAUAGCACACAGCGUUGACGUUACCUACAGAAGAAGCACCGGCUAACUCUGUGCCAGCCGCCGCCGUAACAC
rnacentral:rRNA from 1 species